rfam:Spirochaetes bacterium GWC1_61_12 gwc1_scaffold_180, whole genome shotgun sequence.
CUAUUUCCGCUGUGAGGCGGAGAGAUGGAUUACCAGAAGUCAGCAGAAGUCAUAGUAGGCUCAAUCAACGGGGCUGAAGGAC